UUAUAACCCGGUGUUUUCGUGAUGUACGGAAUGCCAUUAAGCCCCUGGUAUAGUUAGUUCAAAAUCUUGAAAAAUCAAUUUUUCGUGAAAAAAUCGAUACGGGGGGGUAUACCCUAAAAAUGAAAAAUCCCAAACUUUGAAGGUCGAUAUCUCUGCUUCUAUGGACUCUAUCUGGAAAAUUCCAACGGUUUUCUCUUAGUUUCGUCACUCUGAAUCCAAUGAGACCAUUCCUGAGGUCGUAGCUCUCAUAUUAGCUGAGAUCUCGCACUUUUAGAGCCCAUUUU